rfam:Anopheles culicifacies strain species A-37_1 cont1.947, whole genome shotgun sequence.
ACAUUGGCUCUUUAAAGAGCCACAAAAAAUCACAACAAUAUUUCU